rnacentral:rRNA from 1 species
CUUGCGGCGAUAUCAUCUUGAAACAGCGAUCACCGCAAGAUCACUGAAGUUAAGUAACGUCGAGCGUGAUUAGUACUCAGAUGGGUUACCACUUGGGGAUACAACGAGCAGUAU